GCUCGGCUUAUGUGAGAAAGGACAGUGAAAUACCACGUCCAUACAUUUAUUUGGCUGUUUGGACAAGGUUAGAAUAAGAGCAGGGCAAAAAUUGCAGCCCUUUCUGUGAGAGUCAAGAAAACCAUUAGUUUGAAACCAAAUCACGUGCAGGCACACGCACACACACCGAGAUACGCACACACACAAACAUGCACACACCCGCAGCUGCUGCUAGCGGUGCUUGAUAGGACCCUGAAGAAAAUGAGAAUGUUAGCUAAAUGAUUUACUGCGAGCAUAAGAGGACAUUUUGACAUACACCGUUUUUAUGUUUUCCCAUUUCCUAUAUAAAAUGUGUAGAACUUUUGAAGCCCUUGGACUCCAGUGGUCGGCUCCCGCUCUGACCACUUCAAACCCCGCAGACAACUAGGAUGUUGCAUGCACUAACAACUGAGCAAGUGAACUCUCCUCAAUACCAGCAUUAAGACCCCAGAUGACUUUUUAAGCUAUAAAAAAUACAUUGCUCCUA
rnacentral:lncRNA from 1 species